ACAGGUAGCAUGCAACCAGGCAUUUUUUCCAACAAAAGCGAAUCUGGUGGAAAUCAAUGACCAGGAAGAGAAUCAUUUCCUUUAUCAACAAUCUAAGGCAACUCAAAAAAAUUACUGGGUAGGAGCCUCGGACUUGCAGAUUGCUGGAAUGUACCGGUGGCUCAACUCGGGAAAAGUAGUUAGCGCUUCUAGCAGUCAAUGGCGACCUGGCGAACCUAGCCGAGGGAAUGAACACUGCAUGGAUAUUAUGUACCAGGCACCUACAUCAAAUUGUUGGAACAACGAAUCCUGUACCGCUCACCAUUAUUUUAUCUGCGAGACUCCAGUGAAAUAAGCAAGUGUGUUUAAAGCCAAUAAUAUGACAACUCUGAUUCCGUCAAGGAUUAAUAUGUUCAUGUGUUAUUUUUAUAAACUUAAUUUUUGUUUAUUCUUUCAGAAGACCAAUGCGUUUAUAUACUUCUCAAAUAAUGUCGAAGUUGCAUGCAAUGAAUAAAUAAUUGUACAAGUAAAGCGUCAUAUUUCAUUAUAUAUCAUGAGUGCUCAAACAUUUUAAUCAUAUUUUUUUUACAUUUAUUACAAAUUUCCUAAAAAUUUAUGUCAGGAUGUAAGGCAUUGAACGACUUUUUCAAACUCGACAUAAAAAUAACAUUUUAAAAGAUA